rnacentral:rRNA from 1 species
GACGAACGCUGGCGGCGUGCUUAACACAUGCAAGUCGAACGGUGAAGCGCCUUCCUUUUUGGUGGGUGUGGAUGAGUGGCGAACGGGUGAGUAACACGUGAGUAACCUGCCCCCUUCUUCUGGAUAACCGCAUGAAAGUGUGGCUAAUACGGGAUAUUCUGGGUCUGUCGCAUGAUGGGUCUGUGAAAGAUAUUGUUUCGGUGGGGGAUGGGCUCGCGGCCUAUCAGCUUGUUGGUGGGGUGAUGGCCUACCAAGGCGGUGACGGGUAGCCGGCCUGAGAGGGUGGACGGUCACACUGGGACUGAGACACGGCCCAGACUCCUACGGGAGGCAGCAGUGGGGAAUAGUGCACAAUGGGCGCAAGCAUGAUGCAGCGCCGCCGCGUGAGGGAUGGAGGCCUUCGGGUUGUGAACCUCUUUCGCCAGUGAAGCAGGCCUGCCUCGUAUGUGGGUGGGUUGACGGUAGCUGGAGAAGAAGCGCCGGCUAACUACGUG